AUCGACGAAAGAGCCAGCAGCCAACGGCGCCAUCUACCCCUUUGUGUGUGUCAGCGAGCAUCGCCGGUGGAUCCUUCCCAGCAUCUGAGACCCAUCAGGAACUGCACUACUUAGAAGACU